CAAUAAGCUGCAGUUCUGUUGCUGUUGUACCAUUUUUCAUGGCUCAAUUAUGGCAUAUCAAAUGAGUAAUUAAACUUUAUCCAAUUUUUGCUAGACUCUCCUAGAGUUUUUGGUGGGUGAGUCUGCAGGGACACUAAUGUGAGAUGGGCCUCAGAGUAGCUUUUCCUGAUGUCUUCAUUCACAUUCAGGCCUCCUCAGGAUUCCUCAAACAAAUUUCAUGUUUUUGUUUUUUCCCUGCAAGUUGAACCUUUGUGAAUUAUGAAAGUGAGAGAAACUUGAUCUGGUAAGCUAAUAAUUUAAUGUUAGUUAACUUAACAUGAAAGAAGCAAUAAGAGACUAAGGUUCUCCUGUGCUGCUCAAUUAUAAGGUGGUCUUCUGGGGUGAAUUGUGCAUGCAGAAAUGUUUUAUUGUAGGUUUGUGAUAACCAAAAUACCAUAUGUAAGGUCUGGGCCACAAUAUGUCAGCCACAUAGUACAUGGAGUUUGUGGGCUUGGGGAAAUCCUGGCUGCUGAAGAAGAGUGUAAGGUCUUCAGAAGACUGGAAGGACUUCAGAAGACUACACUGAAUAAAUUAUUGGCAGUGCUUUAUCCUCUGAAGGAUCUCUAAACCUAUGGUGUGGGAUGUGAGGGAUGACGGCUGCAGUAGUGCAUAUUCUUGGAAAGCAGAGCAGGCCUCUGCAAGUCUAGUGUGUGUGGAGAAAGGGGACUCUUGUGUAAGCAGAACCACGAUAGCUGGGUGGAAAAAGGCUAUGAAAAAGAAGAAAAAUAUUCAUGGCCUUUCAACAGUGCCCAUAUAAUCUCUCCAGCAGUUCAGAUGAAAGACUUGAUUUGAUUGAAACUGCUUACUCUUGUUAUUUAGAAAUGCAAUUCCAUUGGCUAGAUGGGAAUUGGAGCAUAACUGCAUAUAAAUGUAGGGGCUGAGUAUCUGCAUAUGUGCACAUAUGUCGGCACAUAGAGAGGAAUGUAAAUAAAAGACAUAAGGAGCUACAACGAUUGCUACCAUUCUGAUCUUUGUUUUCAUUUUAUAAGUCAUUUAUUGCUCUGUUUUUACAUGGAAUAUUUGUUUAAAAACCCAGUUGCACUUAAUGACAGUUAUAGGCACAAUUUGUGGAUUUCAGUCUAGAUACUGCUUACAGUACAUGUUGUCUGUUAUGUCUGUUAUUCUAGGAUUUUUGAGCCUGAUGUAUUCUAAGUGAGAAACUUCUGUAGCUUAUUUCCAGGCAUGGGAUUAAUUUUUAUUCCUCAGCUUCAGGUGAGUGUGGCUAUGCGUUGGCUGCUUUUCUACAAAGCAUGAUUAUCUCUGGUUUACUAGGAGCUGUGAUCUUACAGUGGCUCCUCAUGGGACUGGAAGCCACUGGUCAGCACUGUGCUUUGUCAGCUACAUGAUGGGCAGGCAGUGGAGCACUCCAUCCCCACUUGUAGUGCAUGAGUGCAUUGCAGUGCCUACAUCCUCUUAUCACAGUCUUCUCUGGCAGCCCAUGAUUUCCCCAAGCCCACGUACUCUGAGCUCCUGUCACAGUGCAUAGUGGUGCGGGCUCCUAGUGUUCCUGAUUUGUAUCCACAAAGAGAUUCCCAAAAUCUGCUCUGACACUAAUGAGUAGGAGGAAUUGGUUUCAUGCAGAUGGGUAUGUGUAGGUAACGUUUCUGCUCCAUGAGAUGAGUCAAGGCUGUGGCUCCCUUGCCUUACCCCUAGCACUCAGCAUGCCACUUUACUUGAGUGCACAGAGGACGUAGUGGCACAUCCACAAAGACAGGUAAAAGAGUACCAAACAUGAACUUCUAACAGGUGUUUCAUUUAACUGCUCGGUGCCUUGAGCAAAUUACUUGGCUCAGCAUCCUAUAGCUCUCUCCUUUCAAGUUUAAUUUACCCUAACUGGAUUUAAGUAAAGCAUCAUCUCAGUAUCAUCAUCAUUGCAUUGUUCAAGUUCCCAAUUGGCAAAGCAGAAGGCAGCUCAACUGAAGUUGCUUCCUAAUAGCUUCAACAUAAAUGUAUUUCAAAGGGAAAUUGUUCUCAGCCUAAUACCCUACAGAAUUCUAAUUCAAACUAUAAUCCCUGAGUUUCAAAUAUCUGAGAAAUACUGUGAAUGUUUGAAACCCAAAUGUCAGCUGAGAAGCUAAAGAUGAGUUUGAGUGCUCAGAAUCUUAAAAACUAUAUAGCCUCUGCCUUUUGUACAUUUGUGUGGUUUCUUUGUUUUUCUUUACCAAAUGAGCACUCAAAUCAAUGGAGUUAAUAUGAGCAUCAGAGUAUAAAAAGGGGUCAAAUGGUAAAGAAGUGUGAGGUAUUUGUCCUCUGGUUGGACAAGUAAACUUAAGACUGAAGGAUUUUACUGUAAUUAAUAUAUCUAACACUUUGGAGUCCAUUAGCUCUGUUCCAGACACAAAAACAUGCACUUCUCUACCAAAGUGAUGAGGUGUUUUCCUUAACAAAUGCUGUUGAAGAAAAAUUUGGUGAGAUGAAUGCAUCAAACACAAUAAGCAUUCUGAAAGCAUUAUGGCUUAUGCAAUAAAUAUACUUACAUUUAGAAAAUUGCUUCAUGUCAAAACCUCUGUAGAGAUUUGUAGCAACAGUAAUGAUUUUUAAAAUACUGUGUUUAUUCAUUUUGGUAAAUUAGUAUGCAGUGAACAGAAAGUACAGCUAAGCCGAGUUUGGCCACAGUUCAGGUCCAUGCAUUUCUCAGGGGGAGGGCAUCCCUGAGUUUUCUGAUCUGGCAUUCUAGACAGGUUGGUUAUUUCAGGACAUAAAAAUGCACCAAACUAGGUAUUUCCACCUGGUGCCUGUUUUGAACCAGCAACAAACAUUUUGUGUUUUUACUGAAGCCUCUCUACUAGACUUUCAGAAGAUUUACAAGCAUUACAGCAUAAAACCACUCACUCUUACUCUGCACUACAAUGUUAGUAUCAGAGUUGCAUUCUGUGCUAGUCUACAAUAAAUGAUAGAGUGCUCCCUAUUAUCACAUUUCUGCAUCAGUUUGUAUACUGGAAGUCUCCAGUUACUUAACAGUAGACUCUCUUAAAUAAUUUAUUGUUAUUACAUAUAUUUUCUAUGAUUGUAGUGCCUAGGUGUUUUAAACAUGGAACUGAACCUAAAACCAGUGUGAGGGCUGCUUGUAAUGUAAGAUGGCACAAUAUGUGCACAAAGAAAUAAGCCGGUGUUGGGCAGCACAGUGGGCAGGGGUUAAGCACAUCAGCUGCCUGCCUUCUGUUUUCAUAAGUGUCAUGAAAAAGAAUAUACCUUGUGGUAAAUGGCAGCAGAUAGAUUUUAAGUAAAUGAAAGCAGAUAGGGAAAUAGAGGGUCCUUAGAGCCGAAAGUGGACAGUUUAGGUUUGCUGCAAUGGCUCGAGGUAAAAGGAUUAGCCAGAAUGACCAGUGCACAGGUGAAGUGACAUAGGCAGGCAGGGCAGGAAAAUUAUCUUGGUAGAAUGCUCAGAGUAGAGAUCAGUGGGGUGAGGCUGCACUUGGGAAGGUGUUGCAAUAUUCGGGAUGGUACGAGUUGACAUAAAAGCUCUGGUUCGGUGAAUAGAGAUCUUAUACAAAAAGAAAUGACAGAUGUUAGGACAUAAACUGGACAUGAGAAGUUGGAGUGAGGCUGCCUGUCCCUCGCGGGAGGAACCAUUAAUCUUACAUUUUUGAGUAGUUGUUUGUUUUUUUUUUCCUAAUUCCAGGUUGGAAAAGCAUGAAUGUACAGCACUGAGAUGCACCCAUUGGGCUGACAUGAGGUAGUUUAGAGGCAUGCCUCAGAGUGCUUUUGCUUCAAGUUUCAAUUGAGGUGCCAGAAUUAAGGAAUUCCAUAAGAAUGUCAGUCGUAAUUAAAAUUAAAAAAAAAAAAAAAAAAAACUUGGCACUCAGGGUUUCAGAGAGCUGGAAAACAUUACUAAAAUGUAUGGGAAAUUAGAAGUGAAAUAGUAGGAACUGAACACUUCUACUUGUUAGAACUCCUGAACUUUUAAACGGCAUCUCUCGUUUUUCCUGCUGAGUAGGUAUUCCUGAAUACUCUAGACUGACAUGGUUCACAUUGAACAAAUUCAUUUGUAUAGCCCUGCUAGCUGCAGUCGCAUUUCUGUUGACAAUAUGCCUUGUUGCAAUACUGAUGUUUUUAGUUUUACGCAGAUCAGCAUAUCAGUAUCAUUGCUUUGUUGCCAAACAUCUUAUCAUGUUCUAUACUAAUCAUAGCUAGAGGUUGCCAAAGCAGUGUUUGACAUCUUCAUGGCUGUGCCAGCUACUAGUGGUAGUAGGAACAUCUUCUGCUCUUCUCUACUAUAAAUCUCUUCUACUCUAUUCUAUACUAUAAAUGCAAGCUAUUUCAGAAUAGGUAGCAUAUAUGCUACUUUAAGUCCAAGGAAACGUUGUAACUGGAAGUUUGGGCACCUUAAUCUCUAAUGCAAAUUUAAUCUGUAAAGGACUUUGUAGUCUCUGAACUGACAACAGAACUGGAAAUAAAGCCUAGAUUUUUUUCCAAAACUAGCCCCAUACAAAACUCACAUACUCAUGGGAAUUUGCAACUGAUUAAGAAUACCCAGCAAAUUCCAGUUUAAAAAUGAAGAUGAGCACUCAUAUUAAUCCCUGCAGGAGCUACUUCCUUGUCUUCCAUAUUGAGCAUUGUCUUCUUUUUGAGAAAAGCUGUGGGUUUUUUUAACUUCACAUAAGCCACAUACUAACAGUGAAGCACGCUGAAAUUUUUGCACAGUUUAACAGGUCAAGUCAAAACCUCACAGCACAAAAAAUUUCACUUCAGCCCAGUAAUCCACCAGGAAACUACAAAGCGCUUUGUCUUUAGUAGAAUGUUUACUCAACUAACUCUGGUUAAGAGUUCACCUUUAUUGGACAGUCUAGACAUGGCUUCAGCUCUGUAAACCAACUUCUUGCCCUCUGGAGUCACCUUGCAAUUGUUUCAUACCUUCAAAUACUAUAGAUCUACGUUAUUAAACAUUAACCAUGUUUAUACACUUCACAUCAAACUUCUUUCUAAGCAAGCUUAACACAGCCUUAAUAUAGUAUUAUUUCUAUCUUCAGUACUGUAUUUCCACCUGACACAGGCUUCAGUGAUUGCUCCCUUAACCCUCGUGAUGUGGAUCAAAAUUGCAGUCCACUGGUAUAACUUUAGAUCCCAUUGUUGAGCAACUUCACUCCUGUGCUUGUGGUGGUGGACAUUUCAGUAUCAUUGGUCAAGCAGAUCCUCCUGCUGAGCUGUGUUAACUGUGCUGUCAGAAGCUGUGUAAAUGCAGUCUUCCACACUACAUCAAACCUGCCUUUUGACUUGCAAAAGGCCCCGUUGAGACCAUUUUGCUUGGCUUUGUUAACAAAUGCAGAGGUAGGUGGAGGCACAGAAAUCUUCCCACUCUCCAGGACUGAGUAGGAACAAGGUCGGUUUCCUUCUGUUUUUUUUUUUUUUUUUUUUAAUUGACCUUGUUCCAGCUUUGAUUCAGCUGUGAUUGUAUUUAAUUACUUGUGCUCUUAUAUUCAAUAAAAAGUAAGAACAAAAAAAAAAAAAAGAGUGUAAGCUAAAGACUGUGGAAGAGAUAUGAAUUUAGCUGUCCAGACUGCUGUCACACAUAAAUAGUGGCAAUUUAUCUCUUUAACUUGUGGAAACCAGUUUAACAUUUCACCUACAGAGAAUGUCUGUGUGCUGAACCUUACUCAGCAGUAGUAGAGUUGUCAUGCUUGUCCAGCACUGCUCUGAGGUAGAGAUGUCAAGUUUUACAACCCAUUGAAAUGAGAGGUUAAUGAUUUUCUUAUUCAUAGAGCAGAAAUAAACUUGAUCCCCUCACCCUGCUUCAGGUGGCUGAUGGAGAGACCUAUUUAAGUGGUGACACAAAGGUAUGUAUUGGGCUGAAGAUUGAUGACUGAGGACUCAGGAUGAGCUUCAGUUUCCUACCGAUGUGGGGAGAGGUGCAAAUUCUUCCUGGGAAAGAAACAAUCUAUUUCUUACCAAGAAGAAAUUGGAGGAGUAACUCUCACUACACUUCUAGAGGAUGCUUCAGCAUAGUCCUUCUGAAUGGCCAGGCAAGGCUAUUAGUGCCUGCUAAUAAAUGAGAGACUAGUAAUCGUCCAUACUACAAAGCCAUCUGUACAGGACUUAAGAAGAGGAUGGAGUCCAACAAUUUGUGCUAAUGUCUGGAAACUAUUUGUUGUGAAGAUAGCCACUCUUGGGUGCUGAGUGCGAACAUGAGGGUUUGCAUAACAAAUUGUAGGCUAAAUCCAGAAACUCUUCUGCAAAUACAGCCUUACUGAGUGUUCAGAUGAGUAAGGAGCUGGGCUUCAGUAUAAACAAGAAAGAGAGGAGGAAUUGCAGAGCAAAAUGGCCAAGUAUGGGGCUCCUUCUGUUGUCUCAUCCUCAUGGGUCAAUAACAAAGUUACACUGACUUCCCCAAGAGAUUAUUUAAACCUAUCACUCUAAAAGUUGUUUCUCUGAGCAUGUAGGCAGUAAGAGAAAGCUGUGUGCAUAGAUGUAGAAGUGCGUUUUCAUCCCUUCUUGCAGCUGGUAAAAUGAGAACAGGCUCCCAAACUGCAGUUGCACUAACAGAUACCUGAGAAGUCCCCGUUCCACACUGUCCCCUUGUCUGGGCAUUGUAUGGAGGAGUGCCACCUCCUUUCAAGUCAAAACCUUGCCAGCUGCUAUGAUUUGGUAACAAUUUGACAAUAUCAGAGGCAGGAUAAUGCUAGCUUUGCUAAUGUGUAGUCUCAAGCAGCACUGAUGCCAUCAGUGCAUCUGAAAUAAGAAUGUCAUCUGUGGUGAGAAUUAUGGAAGGAUUAAGUGAUCAGUCUCCUGGUAGUAAUCUGUUGAGAUGUUUCAAUUUUAUGAUGAAGUCCACUUCUAUUUUACUUCUUUUUUGCUGUCCUUGCAAUCCCCAGCCCUAGCUCUGUGGCUAAACCAGAAGGACUUCUCUAGACUAGGAGAAGAAGGUAUGGAUGUAUCGUUGGGCUCAGAGAGAGAUCCUUGACAAAGGUAGGUACUGCAAGGCUCACUCAGCAAAUUGCCAGAGAGAGACAGGAAUUGCUAAGAGCCUAGACAAAAAGACUGGGAGAGAUAGGGAGAGACAUCUUCUGGAAGCAGCAAAUAUUUGUGUUUGUGGAGCAGGAGAUUCUGCAGAAGUGAAGGGAGAGGACCUAUUCUCUUAUUCCUUUUUGUUGGUUAAACUGGGAAGUGAGAACACUGUCAUGUUCUCUGUAGUAUGUUUUGUGGCUGCCUCCUCGAGCCUGUAUCCACAUAAUCCAAAUGCAAGUGUGAACUGUGUGAAACUUGCCUCUGUAGUGAGCCUUCACAUUUUUGUAUUGAUAGCAUUUUACUGGAAAGGUGCAGUUAUAGAUGCUGUUAUGUUAACCAAAUGCAAAAAUAAUGUUUAACCUAUGGUUAGUUUUUGCAUAUAAAUAAAUGUUGUACAAUAUAUUCUAUUUAAUAAGCAAGAUUCUGCUAUCUAUAAGAUGAUGGUCUUCUCUUGGUAGGUUCUUAAAGGAUGUUUUUGUCAUUAUCAAAAAUGUUAGUCUUUCUCUGUGCCGUGCACUGGGAGGCAGCAAAAGGUGAACAGCACAGAAAAUGAACACAGUGUUCUGAAAGGUAAGGAAGGGAAAACAGUCAUCUAAUAUACUACCCUUCCAUCAGUUUGUUACCUCUGAAUUUCCCGAAUCUUAGUCUAUGGAGUUUCCUCACAUUAUUCUGGCUGUAAAUUAUUUAUAUACAUUUCCCCAUCUUUUAUUGCACUCAGUUUCUCAGCUUCCUGUGGGACAUCACUAGCUUCCAGCAAUGUGCUGAGGCACCACCUCUAGAAUCUGCCAGAAAGGAGAGGAGAUGGAGCUAACAAAGUGAGACUCUGGGAUUUGUGCUAGAAUGGAUCGUCAUAGAUGAAUAACUAACAGCAUUUUCUCUCAUUUCUGAAAAAGCUCUGUAGUUUUGUUGGCAUAAUUCAUUAACCAGCAUUUUUGCACUUCAUUAUUAAAGGUAAAUCUUUCUCCUGUUUUCAUCAAUCUCAAUGAAGAAAUCUGCCAUUCAUUCCCGUUAGAAGGCUGUUUCUCAGAGCAUCUCUGCUGGUAUUUUAUUCCAUUCAGUUUAAAAUACCCCGGAGAAGGAAUAUUUCUCUGAAGGGAUGUGGGAGUGAGGAUACAGCCCAGGCCAUCCUGUGGUCAGAUAUUAAUGAAGAUAGCUCUAUUUUCUUUGCAUCCUAUUAUCGCUGGGUCUGUACAGCUCUUAAUUCUUCUUCCUACUCUGUGUUUCACCUUUCAGACGACUACAGACAUGUAAUUACGCCAAACUUUGGCCAAAAUCAGGUUGUACAAUAUAUUUGUCAAUGAGUAGAGCCAAGUGAACCUCCAUAGGAACUGUAGCAUGCCCAAAUGCUGCAUGGAUCCCACGGUUCUCUGUGGUAUGCUUUGGCAGUGGUAAGUACAAGCAAGGUUUUUCCGUUCCCCUGCCUGUGUACCACUGAAAACUCCCAUUCAAUAGCUCUACAUGUUUCUCAUAGUGCUAUUUGUAUUACUGUUUUUCACUUUUCUGCAACCACAAUGAAAAGCGUUCUCAUAAUUUACUGUAUAAAAUCCAUUUAUGGUGGCAAAAAGUCUGCUUGGGUUCCACAGUUUCUGGAGAUCUCCAUUUUUAAAGUGAGCUAACUAAUGCUAAAUGCUGUCUGAUGACUAAGAAGAUAUAAAAUGUCAUUGAUGGGACUGGAAAGUCUUCUACAGUUCUUAGAACAGUCAAGAUUUAGUUCCUCCUCUGCAAGACAUAUAUCUAGAGGCAGACAGAGAUGAGUAAUCACAUGGUAGUGCUCACGAAUGGCUAUCAAAUGGAAAUUGUUCUUCUUGUGGACUUCUUCAAGCCCACAGCUGCAUUCUUCACUGCUGUGGGACAUCUGAAGUCAAGUGUCGAAUUUGCUGUGGCUGACUUGCAAUCAGACUUACUGACUAGGGUAGGCUGACUUUCAGAAAGUGUAAAAGACAGAACAGCAACUGUGGAAAUAAAAAGAAUGUUUUUUCAUUGCUGGCAGCUUCUUUGCUCUGACCUUUUGACAUCAUUCCAAGGUCAGUUAAAUGCUUCAGAGGAACUGGAGUGAUUAUAAAUCAACUUCGUCAUCAUCCAUAAGGUGGAUGGAGAACAUUUCAUAAAAGUGAAAAAAGGUUUCCAGGGAGAUCUUCUUGGUGAGUGACUUGUCUGAUUGUCAGUUCAUGGACCUUUUCAUGGGAUAAUUUACUGGUUUGUUCAAGUGUUCUUGCACAGACUCAGUGCCCCAGGAUGUUCCUCUUUUGGCACAGUGGUGUCAUGUCAGCCAUGAAGGCGCUCAGCUGGAGUCAUCCUCCUUUGGUUACCCAUCCUCUGGCCCAGUGCAUCAUUUGUUAAGUACUUUUCUCACUCCAGAUUAGAGAAGUCAUUAUAAGGGGAAAGUACUUUUUUACUGUGGUUGAUAAGGGAAGGAAAAAGCAACAAAAACAGAUGAGCCCUAAAUGAAGAUGAUCGUGUUGACUAUAUGAACUAUCUUUGAAGAUUUCUAAACAAUCAGAAACUUGAGUUUGUUUUCAGCAUAUGCUCCCAGGGGAAGGUCAUCUGAUUCAUAUCCGUCAAAUGUUGAAGGGAUGAGUCACAGUCAAACAAAUCACACUUUUCUAACUUGUCUUUACACAUACGGGAAGGAAUAAUCUCUCUUCAUUUAAAAAGAAUUUUCUUUUUUUUCUUGGUAGACAACACUCAAUAACUUAGCCCCAUGUUAUCUGUUUUCCUUGAAUUAUGAAUAUUUAUUCCCCUCCAUAUCCAUAAAUAAUACAUAAUCUACAUAAUCCUCAUUUUUUUUCUCUUAUGACCUUUAUACACAUCCUAUACAUUAAAUUAAACUCCCUCAUAGCUAUGAAAAGCUCUGAUUUCCAAUUGAAACUUAAUUCAACACCUACAAAGAAACUUGUCUUCAAAUAACUAAUACUAGAUGAUAUAUUCCUUACCAGCAGGCAGCUAACACUGAACAUGAGCAGAAAUAUGCUACUAAAAAAAAAUCUGUUUAUGUCACAGAGUUAAGAUGUGAUAAAAUGUGUAUGUUCCUGUUCCCUCUCUUACUAAUCCCAUUAAUAUAGAGGUGUGAAUAGUGCCCACUGUGUGCAAUACCCCUGACAGGAGACAGUGCAGAUGCAGCACCUACCUUUUUGCUCCAGAAAGCACUCAAAAGAAGACACGAUUGCCCUUUGGCACCUUCAGAGGCUGUUCCAGGAUGCAUCAUCCCCUAGGAAACUGAAAACUUUCUUUUCCUACUCUUCUAAUGUAUACUAAAUUGCCUAAGGAAUCAAUUGGAAGGAGACAACUGUUUUAACAAUAAUCAUCUCUUACCAUUUAAAAAAUACAUGAAUUCAGUUUCACCCCCGUGCACCCCAAACAGUGCUCAGGGAGGAUCUUAGCUACUACACAUUAAGAAUCUGGACUGCUGUCUGAAACCUAAACUAUUCUGAGUUUGAUAAAUAUCCCCAUUUUAGAGAAAAAAAGUAUCCUGAUGUACAAAGGAUGAAUCCAGGACAAUUAAUCAUAGGACAUAUCUGGGGCCACAGCCAGAUCUUCUGACUCACAGUGCUUCCUUUUAGUCGUAGAAAAAAAAAACUUAUUUAUUUUUCAUAAUUACAUCACAUAAUUAUUUAUAAAAAGUCAUACAAAAGAACAGUUAAAAAGUUGAUACAAACUUUCUCAAGGAGUUUUUUUCUUAGUUUCAUUGCCAUGCAUGUUUUUUAAAAAUUAAUAUCAUGCAUUUGUGUAGUAAACAGCUGUGCAUCUUUUUAACAUUUUUUGUUUUGGUAUCUGAAUGAAAUAUUUCUACAUUAUUUAAAAACCUUUGAAUUUUAUUGUAUUGGAAAUACUGUUUUUUCAUAUUUUCUUCUCAGUUCUAAGCUUCCGUGUCUCUAGAAAACUGGAUGACCCUAGAGAGGAAUUCCAAACUCUUCCCAACUCCUCCAAUUUUGAAAGGCCGUUUUCCAAGACAAAAAUUUGUUGAAAAGCGAUGUGUUUAAGAUAGGGGUGUAACUUCUAAUAAUAUGAAAAUACAGAAGAAAAAAAAGUGCUUGAAUAUGGAUUUGACCAUGGGACAUUGGAAAUGCAAAAGAAUUUUAGACUUUUUAAUGCAAAUAAGCAAGUUGCAUCAUUCCAAGUUCAUUCAGAGGCAUAUGUUGAAACAACACAAAGCAAUGUAAAUAAGCAGUCCAAAUCACUUGUCAGACGGCUUUACAACAAUGGAUGACUUUCCUUAGUGCCUUAGUGCUGCUCUAUCUGCAAGGAAUCUUCCUGGAGCACCUCUUGAGAGCUGCCACAAUAUCAAGUUAAUUCAUGUUGAUGGCCACUGCCUAUUAGUCACUACUUUGAGAAGGAACAACAGCGACAGGAUACUUGAAAAGAAAUACUGCAGCUGAUGCUUUGCAUUAUGAAAAAUGCCGACAUCUGAUCCAUUUUGAUAUCCUUGAAUAUCUGAUCUUUGGAAAAAUUACAUGUGGAGUUCAGGACAUUGGGCAUUUGCUCCCUGAGCGAUGGAGUCCAGAACCUGUUUAAGGGUCCCAGCAGCCCACCUCUAUUUCAUAGUAGACAACCCCUUGAGUGACAAAAACCUUUUAAAGGGGAAAAAUAACAUGAACAACUCCUUCUAACAUGGUUGGAAUUGAGACCACCUAAGUUUUUGCUCUAAGCUGUUCCUGUACAAUCUGUUUCCCAGGUAAUCUUCAUGUUUAUUUAAGAGAAAGAGAUCAUCCCGCUCUUUCACAGAAGCUCUCUCUUAGCCUUUUGAGGAUGCUCCAGGCUAAUGUAUGGAGCCUAGAGGGUGUAAUUCAUAGUUUGAAACCUAUUAUACUCAUGCCUUAUCUUCUAGUGAUUGCUCUGAGCAUCAAGAAUUGUAAGAAAGGAAGGAAGGGCCCCCCAUCUCCUUCUCAGCUUGUGCUGCUCAGCUCCACACAGAAGAGCGUAUUUCUGCAGAAAGGCAGAAGCAGAGCUGUGAGUCACAAAUGAGUCAAAAGGACAAAAGCUUAGUGGGCAAAGACUGGCAUUUUUAUUAUAUAAAAUCAGACUUUUGAGAACUGUCUUUUUAAGCUUAGCAUCCUCCACAAUUCUUAAGUGGGAUUAAGAUGUCCAAAACAAGAUCUCUUCUUCUUUUAAUUACUAUCUACUGACAUUAUUACAGAGUUUACUAUUUGUGUAUGAGUUAAGCACAAGGUGAGGAAUUAUCCUAAGCAACAAUUUUUCCUUGCUUACCAAAGCUUGCAAUGGAGAGCAGAUUGCCUAUCCCUGUAACGGAUGUACAUGUGUAAGAGAUUUUUAAAUGGCAAAUAACUAGCAGAGCCUUUAUUAUUAAUAUCAAAACAUCAUUUUUUCUUGUACUCUUUUUUCCAGAUGAGUUUUCUGUUUGAAUUCAUUGAAACUUUUUCAUGUAGUUUAUUAGAACCAGUAUAUUGUAUUAAUUUCCCUAAAAAUUCUUCACUUACAAAGCAGCUGAAUAAAUUUUAUAGUGGAAUAAGGUGUGAAGAUGAAUUACUGCCCAUGCAUGUGAACACCACUGAUCAGGAGGUGACACUUUACUGUAGUAGCUCAAUAGAGAGAUAUCAAGGAACAUAUAAGGGUUAAUUUAGCAAGAUCCCCUGAAACAGUGUAGAAAAAAAAUGUUUCAGUAGGUAAAAAUUCAGAAUGCUGUCUUUAUACAUUCAACAGUCUGCUAAAUUAAAAAUAGUUAAAACUCAUUUUUGUGCCACGAUUACACUAAAAUCUGAGAAGACCAGUAAGGGAGGAAAGUAUCUUCCAGGAGAUCAGAGCACUUUCAUGGAAUUUUGGACUUCAGAGAUUCUGCAGGUUUCAAAUAUAAAUAUAUGCAGUUUUAAAAUGUUAGAAACAAGUGAGUCAUCCUUAUCUCUCAGGGGAGUAGUUACUUAGGUUGGUAGCAUGGGAGGGUUAAGGGAAGGAAAAGAGGAAGACAGUUGUAAUAAUCUUGAGUAAUAGUAGACAAACCUGUCCCUGUUCCUUUUCUCUCUCUCCCAUCCUCUCUCGAUUAGCACAAGAGCUAUAGAAAUGUCAUUUCAACAUGUUACAUCCAUUCAUAUGAUCAAAAUGAAUUUAUUUUAGAACCCAAUUUUUGCAUAAAUGCUUAUAUGUGUGGUCAGAGAUAUAGAAGUCAGCAAAGAGCAUCACAUUAUUUAAGUAAGAUACUUUCAGCUAAGUAAGCUGAGCUGGUCAUGCAUGACAUUGAGUGCUGCUGAGAAGGUCCUCAGCAAACUCUCUUGCUCCUUUCCUCCCUACAGACGUGCAAAAAGUUCUCCGUACUUUAUACAUUCAUGUUGGUAAGGAUGUCUUCAAGCCACUGUAAACUAAGCAGCAAUGACAUUAGAUUCUAAUUAAGAUCUUUUGGCUUUCACAUUGAUAAUGAGCUGUAGGCACUUCUUUGUUGCUCUUGUUAUUUUUGUAAAGCUGUUUGGGAGCUCCCUUAGAGAAUCUCCCCCAAGAAAAAAUAUUGUUUUGCUUCCACUCUCUGCACAUCAGUUGUCAAAUUCAAAGAUGCCUGCCAACACAGCUCAGCCUUUUGUAGUCAGAAAUUCAUUUUCAAACAAUGCUUUCCAAUUCCUAGGUAAUCUGGUGUGUGUUAUUUAAACAUCUAAUACAUGUAAUUUCACAAGGAUCAACAUAGCCAAGUACACAGAAGCCUAGAACUGGCAUGUCAAACAAAACAUUUUCUGUUAGAAGUGAAUAUGAUUUCACUGUGAUUGAAUAAUCAGUGUUUUGAAUGUUAGUGUCUGAAGUUUUACAAUGUAUUUCAAAGCCUAAUUUAAAAAGCACAUACUAACACUUCCCGAUUAUGUCUGUAGAGCAGCUGUUUUGUGUGAUUUAAUGGUGAGUGUAAAAACCUAGCUCCGUUUAAGCCAGCUGCACGAAUCUCUGGAGUUUCUUUGGUUUGGCAGUUUCCCACCUUCUCCUUCAGGAUACAACCUUCUCCUUCACAAUGGGACUUUCAUCGCCAUCAAUUCCAAUCUCUAAUUAUGUUUCAAUCUUGCAAUGACGUGCCUAUAAAGAGUCUCUUGACAUUUUUUUCUUGGUUAACUUGGGCCAAGAUCACAUGGACAUGAUGUGGCCUGCUGAUUCUCAUGAUUUCAGUAAGAUCCAGCUGUCUUUCAGGAAAACCUCCUUCAAAAGAUCAUGACAGAGCUGGCUGGUGAACUGGUCAUCUUCUUUUACAGUAGCUGGUAAGUCAAAACAAGAUCACAGAGGCUAUGUCUUCAUUCAUUACUGAUGUUGGAGCUUAAAUUUGCAACUGCCUGCCCUUGAGUCAGAUGUUUUGUUUUGGAAGGUGUAGGUGUUUUGAUACAAGGCUAAUGAGAGUGAAUCCUUAAUCAUUAGACAACACUCUCCUGUGAGGCAAAAGUCUCACUCAGAAAUGAUAAAUCUUUGAACAGGCUGUUGCCCUACACUCUGAUGAAUUUACUCUGUAAAGUUUUGUUGUGCGAUAUGCUAUAAGAACCAUUUUCUACCUAAAUCUUUCCUGUGCCUGACCCCAGCCUUCCCUUUUUCAAGACAUCAAAAGGAGGCUGGAGCUUUACCUUUCUCUGCUAGGGAGGGGCAGACAUAUGGGGCACAAAAAGGGACAAGACUCCUCUAAUUAUCCACAGUAUCAAUAGUUUAUCUUCUCUGCAUUUCACCUACUACACUGCAAAAGUGUCAUUCUCUCACUAAGCAGUGUGCAGUGCCUAUGUUAGUCUUAUUUCAGACAGCAGGGCUUCCCAGGUGGUGUGCAGCAGCAGGAUUUGGAGCUGAGUCUAUGGUUAUUAUAGAUGGAUUAUGCACUUUGGGCUAGUGUGAUGAAAAUUCGUAAGAAUUUAGGAGAUUCUAUUACACAAAGUACUUCUGUUCCAUUUAAAAUAUAAAUAUAUAUAUAGUUACUAUGUGUGCUGACAAUGGUUACUGUCAAAAGUAAGGCUCUCUCCAACAGGAAUAAGACCAAUUUUGAGGGAAAGAAGAAGUGAAAUGACCUGUGCAGUGAGAAGGCUGGUUCUAGACUAGAUGAAAGAAUCUUUCCAGCCCUUUCCUCAGCUGUAUGACAAUUUAAUAAACACCUGCUUAACACUGCAAUUCACCCAAUCAAGUUUCAAGACCUUGGACACCUGUGCAACACAUUGAUGUUGAUAAUAAUAUCUGGAGAUUGAUUUCAUUAGCACAAAAGCCUACAAAUCCAAGUUGAUAGGUCUUGUACUCUGCACAGAACCCCUGGCUGGAUUGUACCAAGGCUGGUAUCCCAAUGUCACAAGCGGGGCUGCUGUCUGGCCCUGCUCCCCCCAGGCAGGUCAAGGCAGUACUGGCAGAUAGGCCAUCCCUGUGAGAUUCUCUUGCUGCUAAAAUGGCCCUCAUUUUCAUUAUCUGUGUUACAGUAGCACCUAGAGGUGCUUUUUAUUGGACAUAAAAAGACCCUGUUAUUCUACCUCAUGUGUCCUAUUGCUGAGCUAUAAUACAACACAAUCUCUUGGGCAUGAAAAUCUUUUUUUAAUUAAGCAAUUAGAAUACUGCAUUAUUUGAGGAUCAUUCAGCUUCUUCUAAUCCUUAUUUGAUUUAGCUUUAUUUCACUAAUGUACAUUUUGCUGCUUGUUGUUAUCUUUCUCUUUGAAUCUGCUUAGAAAUCCAUUUGCUCUGGGUAAUUGUUCCUUCACAAGGCACUUUUCAGUAAUGUUCAGCACAAUGAUUUCAUGUUAAAAGAUGAUGUUAAAAUAAAGUGGCUGUCAUGAUAAAGUCUGUUUCAAAAAAAGAAUCAAAAUCUACCAUUUGUUCCUGUUUCCAAUUAUCCUCCAUUACAGGUAAUGAAAUAAUGUGAGUAAAAGUUACAAGUGUCAUACUUAAAGGGAACUUGGACACUCAUCAAUAAUAUCAGAGAUGACAAAACUAAUCUUGUUUAGUUACAUAUACUGCUGCAGUCAGAACGUCUGAUUACAAGAGAGAAAGGAAGCAUCAGUAUUAUUACUGAAGUCUGAAAGUCAUUUUAUUCCCAAAUUAGCAGCAUUGUUGAUACAGCUGAAUAUAUUGAAUGUACAUUUCCUUUAUCAAAAUAAUUUCUGUGCAAUAAACAGAAAGAAUUUG
ensembl:lncRNA